rnacentral:rRNA from 1 species
GACGAACGCUGGCGGCGUGCUUAACACAUGCAAGUCGAACGGAAAGGCCCUGCUUUUGUGGGGUGCUCGAGUGGCGAACGGGUGAGUAACACGUGAGUAACCUGCCCUUGACUUUGGGAUAACUUCAGGAAACUGGGGCUAAUACCGGAUAGGAGCUCCUGCUGCAUGGUGGGGGUUGGAAAGUUUCGGCGGUUGGGGAUGGACUCGCGGCUUAUCAGCUUGUUUGUGGGGUAGUGGCUUACCAAGGCUUUGACGGGUAGCCGGCCUGGGAGGGUGACCGGCCACAUUGGGACUGAGAUACGGCCCAGACUCCUACGGGCGGCAGCAGUGGGGAAUAUUGCACAAUGGGCGGAAGCCUGAUGCAACAACGCCGCGUGCGGAAUGACGGCCUUCGGGUUGUAAACCGCUUUCGCCUGUGACGAAGCGUGAGUGACGGUAAUGGGUAAAGAAGCACCGGCUAACUACGUG